rnacentral:rRNA from 1 species
AUUGAACGCUGGCGGCAUGCCUUACACAUGCAAGUCGAACGGCAGCACGGGAGCAAUCCUGGUGGCGAGUGGCGAACGGGUGAGUAAUACAUCGGAACGUGCCCUGUAGUGGGGGAUAACUAGUCGAAAGACUGGCUAAUACCGCAUACGACCUGAGGGUGAAAGUGGGGGACCGCAAGGCCUCAUGCUAUAGGAGCGGCCGAUGUCUGAUUAGCUAGUUGGUGGGGUAAAGGCCUACCAAGGCGACGAUCAGUAGCUGGUCUGAGAGGACGAUCAGCCACACUGGGACUGAGACACGGCCCAGACUCCUACGGGAGGCAGCAGUGGGGAAUUUUGGACAAUGGGGGCAACCCUGAUCCAGCAAUGCCGCGUGUGUGAAGAAGGCCUUCGGGUUGUAAAGCACUUUUGUCCGGAAAGAAAUCGCUUCGGUUAAUACCUGGAGUGGAUGACGGUACCGGAAGAAUAAGGACCGGCUAACUACGUGCCAGCCGCCGCCGUAAUAC